rnacentral:lncRNA from 1 species
UUACAGAAGUUUAUUCCGAAAUGUCUCAACUUGGAAGCAACUAAGGUGUCCUUAACUAGAUGAAUGGAUUAACAAACUGUGGUAUGUUUAGACAGUGGAAUAUUAUUCAGCUAAAAAGAAAUGAGGAGUUCCUGUUGUGGCUCAGCGGUUAACGAACCUGACUAGCAUCCAUGAAGAUGCCGGUUUGAUCCCUGACAGUGGGUUAAGGAUCUGGCGUUGCCUUGACCCGUGGUGUAGGUCGCAGACUCAGCUCAGAUCUUGUGUUGCUGUGGCUGUGGUGUAAGCUGGCAGCUGUAGCCUGGAUUGGACCCCUAGCCUAGGAAUCUCCAUAUGCUGUGGGUAUGACCCCAAAAAGACAAAAUAAAAAAUAAAAAAUGAGGAGUUCCCAUCGUGGCGCAGUGGUUAACGAAUCCGACUAGGAACCAUGAGGUCGCGGGUUCGGUCCCUGCCCUUGCUCAGUGGGUUAAGGAUCCGGCGUUGCCGUGAGCUGUGGUGUAGGCUGCAGACGCGGCUCGGAUCCCGCGUUGCUGUGGCUUUGGUGUAGGCCGGUGGCUACAGCUCCGAUUAGACCCCUAGCCUGGGAACCUCCAUAUGCCGCGGGAGCGGCCCAAGAAAUAACUAAAAAGACAAAAAAAAAUAAAAAUAAAAAUAAAAAAUGAAAAGAAAUGAACUAUCAAGCCAGGAAAAGACAUGGAGGAAACCUAAAUCUAUAUUACUAAGUGGAAGAGGCCGAUCUAAAAAGGCUGCACACUGGAUGACUGCUACUAUAUGACAUUCUAGAGAAGGCAAAACUAUGAAGACCAUAAAAAGAUCAGUGGUUGCCUGGGGUUAGGGAGGAGGGAAGAAUGAAUAAGAAGAGCACAGAUUUGUAGUGCAGUUAAAAAUAAUUCUGUAUGAUAACAUAAAUGUGGAUACAUGUCAUUAUACAUUUGUCCAGAUCCAUAGAAUGUAUAACACCAAUUGCGGAUCCUAGUGUAAACUAUGGAUUUGGGGUGAUAAUGAUGUGUAAGUGUAGGUUAGGUUCAUUGAUUGUAGCAUAUGUAGCACUCUGAUGCAGGAUGCUAAUAGGGGUAGGAUGUUGAUAGCGGGAAAGGCUGUGUUGGAGGAAUAACAGAUACAUGGCAACUCUCAGUAAUUCAUACUCAAUUUUGCUGUGAAUCUAAGACUUCUCUAAAAAAAUUCUAUUAAAAAUAGUAUAUAUAGAAGUUCCCUGGUGGCUUAGUGGGUUAAGGAUCCAGCAUUGUUACUGCUGUGGCACAGGUUCAAUCCCUAGCCUGGGAACUUUCCCAUGCCGAGGCUGUGGCCCCAAAAGAUAAACAAACAGGGAGUUCCCCUCAUGGCUCAGUAGUUAACAAACCCAACUCGGAUCCAUGAGGGUGCAGGUUUGAUCCUCAGCCUUGCUCAGUGAGUUAAGGAUCCAGUGUUGCUGUGAGCUGUGGGAUAGGCCAGCAGCUGUAGCUCUGACUCGACCCCAAGCCUGGAAACUUCCAUAUGCUGCAGGUGCGGCCCUAAAAAGCAAAAAAAAAAAAAAGAGAUAAACAAACAAAUGCAUAAACAAAAGUAAAAGGCAAAAGACAAAUUGGGUAAAUAUUACAGACAUAUAUGAUAGCUAUAUUUAACUAAGGAUAUUAGAAUCUUAAAAAGCUACUAUGAAAUUCUUAGGAAAUAAAAUAAAUACUACAAUAGACAAAUGAACAGAAAGACAACUAACAGAAUACAACUAAAGAUAAAAGACAACUAAUAGUAAAAAUUGAAUGAUACUGAUCCCCAGUAGUAAUCAAAUAAACAAAUUUAAAAUAAAUAGAUAACAUUAAGAAUGGCAGACUUAUUUUCCCAAGAUGAUGCCAAAUAUGGGCACGGGUAUAUGAAAAAAUACCUUCUCCUCCGUUGUUGGGGAUGGAAUAAAUUGGCAAUUUUCUGGAGUCUGUACUUAUCAAAAAUCCUUUUUUUUUUUUUUCUUUUUUGGCGGCACCUGUGGCAUGCAAAAGUUCCUCAUCCAGUGAUCAAAGUUGUGCCACAGCAGUGACAAUGCCAAGUCCUUAACCACUAGGCCACAAGAGAACUCUGUAUUUAUUCAAAAAUCUUGAAAAUGCACUUCAAGACUUCUGCUUCUCAACAUCAUCCUUAAGGUGAAAUGAUUGAUUUCCCUCUAAGAUCAGGAACAGGGUAAAGAUGUCCACUCAUACCAUUUCUCCUUAACAGUGUGCCAGAGGCUCUAGUUAGUACAGUAAGGCAAGAAAAAGAAAAGUAUCCAGAUAGGAUAGGAAGAAGUAAAGCUGUCUUUAUUUGCAGAAAAUAUGAUCAUCUAUGUAGAAAAUUCUAUAGAAUCUAUCAAAAAAAUCUACUAGAACUAAUGAGUUUAGCAAAGUUGUUGGGUAUAAGACAUAAAUUUUUAUUAUAUUUUUAUAUAUAAGAUGAAUUUAUUUUUAUCAAUAUUUUGCUUUUGCUUUAUAGCACCACACGUGUGGCAUGUGGAAGUUCCCAGUUUAUUUUUAUUUUUAUUUAUUUUUUGUCUUUUUUUGCUAUUUCUU